rnacentral:rRNA from 1 species
UACGAAGGGGGGCGAGCGUUAAUCGGAAUUACUGGGCGUAAAGCGUGCGCAGGCGGUUUUGUAAGACCGAUGUGAAAUCCCCGGGCUUAACCUGGGAACUGCAUUGGUGACUGCAAGGCUUGAGUGUGUCAGAGGGAGGUGGAAUUCCGCGUGUAGCAGUGAAAUGCGUAGAUAUGCGGAGGAACACCGAUGGCGAAGGCAGCCUCCUGGGAUAACACUGACGCUCAUGCACGAAAGCGUGGGGGAGCAAACAGG